UCACAAGCCCUUUCAUCUAUGGAGUUUCCUCUAGAUGGUGGGAAGAAGAGAAGCAAUAAUGUAACUCGCUCCCAUGCAUUUGCUGAUUACUUAUAAUCCUGUGGACAAGCUGCUGAGCAAUGGGAAUAAAGCAUAACCUGACUUACACGGGACUCUUCGGCAGAGCCUUCUCAUCUAUUUAUUAAACACACGCUCGAUGUGUACUGAGUGCCAGCGACUUUCACCACCCCACCUGCCCCGGAUUCAUCCUUGACUCUAGCAGUUCUGUCACCAAGUCCUGCCAAUUUCGCCUCCUUACUGCUGCCAUCAUGGCUCACCCUCAACUCAUCUUCCACCUGGUGCUGGAGGGAUCUUCUGCAAUACAAAUCAGUUGAAAGAACUUCAGAGGGUUCUCCUGGACAUAGGAGGGAGCCUGCUGUUGUUGUCUUAUUUUUGGUGGUGUGUGGUGAAUCCCAGGAAGCCGUGAAACCUUCAAACUUCUUUGCCACUUGGAGACCAAGUGCCGCAUAUUAAAAGAUAAGGCUUUGGAGAUUUUUCAAAAGAAAAGAAAUGGACAUGAAGCAUAGAAGCAAUUACUGAAGGCAAUCAUUUCCCCAGAUGUGCACCUCGGGCGUCACUCCCUGCAGCAACUGCAUUGCUAGGGCAGUGAUUAAGGGGUGGUCCCAUCUGCUGCGAAGGACGUCUGUCAUGAACUUUUAGGAGAGGCUGCGGUUCAAAAAGAAGCACGUUUCUCUUUCAGUCAGCACCAUAAUUAAAUGAAUCGAUGCUCUCUUUGCUUACUGCGGCUACUCAGAUCCUUUAAGGCCCUCAAGUAUGUUGUGAGUUUUCUCAAAAUGGAUAGAGUGUGACAUUCUUAACACUCAGGGUGCACGUUUGCCAUAGUUUUAAUUGCACUGAAAGAUUUUAG
rnacentral:lncRNA from 1 species